CACCUCAAACCUCCCCAAAAAACACCUUGGAGCUCCUGGGCUGUCCCAGCCCUGUGGAGGUGGCACUGGUGCCGCUGGUCUCAGGGACACUUGCUCAGUCCUUCCUCUGUCCUCGACCCUGGCUCGGCUCCCGGCUUUGUUUUCAGUUUAGCUCCAUACCCCGAGCAGCUGGUGCUGCCCAGGUGACACCUGAGGAUGGAAAAUCCGUAGGGAAUUGGUUUUUUAAGGGACUCACGGAGUCCUGGACCACUUGACUGUCGUGUGGGCUGUGAUGGAGAUGGAGCCUCAGUUCGGGAAGCUUUUCCCGUGUCCCACCGGGCCCUUCGGAGCUGUUCUUACCCCGGAGCUGAUCCGCGAGAGGAGCAGUGGGGCACAGCCCUCCUCGAUGGCCGGGAAUGCUGCAGCGGCUCUGUUCUCGGAGGGAUUGCCAGGAGCGUUCGGAUCUCUGCGGCUCGAGAGCCAGGGCCGCCUUUCCCGCUGGAAUUUCUCUUCUGGGAGCCGGAACGGGGUCGGACACGGCCGGAGCUGAGCCCCCUCCCCUGCACCUGGGCGUCCUCGAGGGCAGCGGCAGCCCUGGCACCGAGGUAAUUUUGCACGGCGAGGACCCGGACUUUGGCCUCAUCAUGGCAACGGUGGUGACUGAGAAGCUCAGCCGGCUCUUCAUCAACGUGAAGCAGCUCCCGCAGCUGCUGGGCCCGCUGGCCCCGGCCACGCUCAGCAGCUCCGAGGUGCCGCCGGUGUUCUGGAAGCCCUACAUCCACGGCGGCUACCGGCCCGUGCGCCAGACCUGGCGCUACUACUUCUCCACGCUCUUCCAGCAGCACAACGAGGCCAUCAACGUCUGGUCACACCUGGUGGCCGCCCUGGUCCUGCUGCUGCGCUUCCAGCGCCUCUGGCAGCACGUGGACUUCGGGCAGGACGAGCACGCGCGGCCCCUGCUCAUCAUCCUGGCCGCCUCCAUCACCUACCUGACGUUCAGCAGCCUCGCCCACCUGCUGCAGGCCAAGUCCGAGUUCUGGCACUACAGCUUCUUCUUCAUGGACUACGUGGGGGUGGCCGUUUACCAGUACGGCAGCGCCCUGGGCCACUUCUACUACGCCAUCGAGCCCAGCUGGCACCAGCGCGUCCGCGGCUUUUUCCUGCCGGCGGCGGCGGCGCUGGCCUGGCUGUCCUGUGCCGGCUCCUGCUACGCCAAGUUCCGCUUCCACCCGUCCUGCCCGCUGCCCGGCCGGCUGUGCCAGGAGCUGCCCUCGGGCCUGGCCUACCUGCUGGACAUCAGCCCCGUGGUCCAUCGCAUCUGCACCUCGGCGCGGCCGGACCUGGCCCUGCUCUACCACAAGUGCCAGGUGCUCUUCUUCCUCAUCGGGGCCUUUUUCUUCUCCCAUCCCUACCCCGAGAAGUGGUUCCCCGGGAAGUGCCACUUCUUCGGGCAGAGCCACCAGAUCUUCCACGUGUUCCUGGUGCUCUGCACGCUGGCGCAGAUCGAGGCCGUGGUGCUGGACUACGAGUCCAGGAAGGAGAUCUAUUCCUCCCUCCAGGGGGACCUGGCUCACGACUUCUCUGCCCUGUUCCUCUUCACUGUCACCUGCUCUGUCCUCACAGCCGCCUACAUGGCCCGGAGGGUGAAGGAGAAGUUGAAGAAAGAAGAGUAAAGAAGAAGUGAGCUCAGCCCAAAUCCAGCCCCAAGCCUCGAGAUGCUGCUUCAUGAGCUGUUACUCAGCAAGUGCUUUCUAUAGGGAAUGAAACCCCCCAGCGCCAAGAUCAAAGCACCCACCCGAGUUCCCGAGAGGAAACGCACCCCGGUGCUGCUCCCACAGCCUGGCACCAAGCAAACCACCAUCCCCACCUUCUUCAGCUCCCACACAGAUGAAAGAGACAAAGAAAACUCCAGGCCGACUCCCUGCACCCCAAAUAAAGACUGUAAGGACACAGGGGUUCCUCUGGCUGCCUGCCCUGUGAAGAUCCUGGCCUUGCCACAGCUGGAGGGAGCCCGGGAAGAGCCCUCUGGAGCCGAGCAGGGGGUGCAGAGCACAUCACGAGCAUGGCAAACACCUCUGGAACCCCCAGAGCUCCAAAUGGAGUCUGAGAGCCAGAGCAAAGCCUCCUGUGGGGCUGGGGGGGAUUCCUGGUGCUGCAGCUUCUCCCAGGGCUCGGAGUACGAUGGGAUCAUCGCUCCCAGGAACAAAUCCUGGUUAUUUCCUGAAGAAACGGCCUCAGGGAGCAGGAAACCACAGCACUGGAGCAGAGUUAAUUCUGGGAUGGGUUUUGCUGGGACUGAGAACACCAAUCCUGUCCCAGGGGCUGCUCCCAGAGGGGUUUGUUCCUCUCCCCUCAAAGAGCGGGGCCAGAACACGGUGGGGGCCCAGGGGGGGUCCUGCAGGGAGCUCUUCUCCCAGGACUCCCAAGGGAACAGGGUCAUUGCUCACAGGGCCAGGGGCAGCUCCAGCCCGAGGCAGAGCCAGCCCCGGGGGCUGCAGCUGGAGCUGGGCUCAGAGGCCCUGUUCACGCAGGACUCGGAAGGGAACAGGGUCAUUAAACACUGGUGAGUGAGCUCAGCCCGCCCUGGGCAGCAGCAGAGUGCGGCUGUUGUGAAGGAAGUGGUCAGAAUUGGGGAAGUGAACCCCUUGGUGCAGCCCUCCGCACCUCUCCGUUCUCUGAACUUUGCUCUAAUCCAAAUAAAACGCUGGAGUUUGUAA